rnacentral:misc_RNA from 1 species
UUCUAGACAUGCUAUGCAUGGCGGGCUCCCUGCACUUUUGUGCGGCCAACCGGCAUGCGGCUGUCUCUUCACUCUCCCUCCCGUCAGCACAUCUGUGCAGGGCAGGGAUGCUCGGUAUCGGUUGCCUGUAUGGUUCUACCCAUUCUCGGGUAGCGAAGUAGUCCCUCGAAGGUUUUUUUUGCUUUCCCUACUGAUAUAUUGUCGCUAGGGAAGCCGAAAUGUCGGUGAAAUCCUUGUGUCGUUGUGGGCGAAUGCCUUACCACCGUCACUUGGAUGUUUGCCGGCUCUCACGGAUGCUGUGCCCAUUGUUAGCUCCGCAGGCCUCUGUCCCGCGGGCUUCGGGAGGUCCCAUGUAUGUAUGCGUCACUGCUCUAGAGCUAGACCGUACGUGCAUGCGGAAUGCCUCCCGGAAUGAAUAUAGCAGCGAUCGCUAGUUUUCGUCAUGAGAAGGACCUCCCGUCUGGGUUGGUGCCGGACAUGACGUGCUGGCUCUCGUUUAAGACGUGC